rnacentral:lncRNA from 1 species
GAAAUAAUGUGGUGCUGAGGUUGAAUGGACCACAGCCAACUCCCUCUGCCUGGGAAGUGAAGAGGAAGAAUGAAUUGUUUUCUAGAGGAGAUGGUGCUGGUUGGAAAGAAAAUGUCCAAAGAGAUCGGUGGAUGUGGAGACUUGGUCUGGCACUUGUGAGCAACAGUGUCCUUCACCAAGGCAGAGAUGUAAAAGACUAUCAAAGAAAGACAGAGUUGAAAGACCAGUUCUUCAGGAAAUCAUGUGCAUAUCAGACUUCAGUUUCUUCAGCCAUUUUUCCAGGGAGCUUCCAGCCUUUGACCUCAGACUGGUGCUGUGUCCUUGAUCCUUCUUGUCCUGCAGCUUCCAGCUUCUUGGACUGAGCAGCUACUGGGUUCACCAGGUCUCUAGUGCAGAGGGCCACUGUGGACUCCCCUACCUCUGAUCUUUUCCCGAGAUAGAACCCAUAGCCUUCUCACUGAGCAACAUCUCCAAUACCUUUUUAUUUUGACACAAGGUCUAGCGAAGCUACCCAGGCAGGCUUUGAACUUAUGAUCUUCCUGUGCCAGCCUCCAGAGAAGCUGGAAUUACAGAGGUGUAUCCAUGUCUGGCCCAGGCUUGCUCUUUUAUAACAACCCACUCUUGUGUGACUCACUCCUCAGGACCAGCAUUGAUCCCAUCUGAGGGCAGUACCCCAAUGACCUACCUACCUUUUGUUAGGCAUCAUUUCUUAAAGAGUCCAACAUCUCUCACAUCACCACACUAGAGACUAAACUUCCAGCACGUGAGCCUCUAGAGGUCAAACCACACCCAAACUAUAGAGCUAUCCAAAAAUAUACCUUAACAAACCAGAGCUGGAAAACUUGCUGAAGGUUUGACGAAGUAAGUGGUCAUGACAGAGAAACUCAGGUGUCAUGGAACUACCAGGUGGCCUCUAAGAACUCCAGAAAUUCCCUAGGAACUGCAGUGGCUCCUAGGAGAUGAAGACAUCCUUUAGCCAACAGCCCAUGGAAACUGAAGGGCCUCUAUUCUACAAAUACAAGGAAAAGAAUUCCACCAGUGACUCAUCAAUAGCCAGCUUGGACAUGAAUCCUUAAUGAAAGAAACUUUCCAAAGAGAAUGUAACCUAAUCCACACCUUGGUUCCAGCCCUGUGAGGGCAAUGGACUUAGCUAAGCAAUGUCUACAGAUAUAACUCUGACUAGGGUAAAACCUGAAACCAUGUAUUGUUCUAAUCUUCUAAGUGGAUUGUACCUUGUUGCACAGAAAAAAAAAAUCAAAUAUACACGUUGAACUGG